rnacentral:rRNA from 1 species
UCGAGCGAUCUCGCAAGAGAUAGCGGCAAACGGGUGAGGAAUACAUAGGUAAUCUUCCCUUAAAUCAGGAAUAGCCCUAUGAAAGUAGGGGUAAUGUCUGAUAGCAUCAUGAGGGCGCAUGUUCUUAUGAUUAAAGACAGGGACCUUCGGGCCUGUCGUUUAGGGAUGAGCCGAUGUCUUAUCAGCUAGUUGGUGGGGUAACGGCUCACCGAGGCUAAGACAAGUAGCUGGUCUGAGAGGAUGGUCAGCCACACUGGGACUGAGACACUGCCCAGACUCCUACGGGAGGCUGCAGUCGAGGAUAUUUAGCAAUGGGCGAAAGCCUGACUAUGCGACGCCGCGUGAGGGAUGAAGGUUUUCGGAUCGUAAACCUCUUUUAGCAGGAAAGAAACCUUUCAAGUUAAUAGCUUGAAAGCUGACGGUACCUGCAGAAUAAGCCACGGCUAACUCCGUGCCAGCAGCCGCGGUAAUACGGAGGUGGCAAGCGUUACUCGGAAUUAUUGGGUGUAAAGGGCAAGUAGGUGGCUUGGUAAGUGAGAGGUGAAAUACUCCGGCUCAAUCGGAGAACUGCCUUUCAUACUGCCUUGCUUGAGGAUGACAGGGGGAAAGGGAAUUCCAGGUGUAAGGGUGAAAUCUGUAGAUAUCUGGAAGAACACCAGCGGCGAAGGCGCUUUCCUGGGUCACUCCUGACACUAAAUUG